rnacentral:rRNA from 1 species
AGAGUUUGAUCCUGGCUCAGGAUGAACGCUAGCGGCAGGCCUAACACAUGCAAGUCGAGGGGCAGCACGGUGUAGCAAUACACUGGUGGCGACCGGCGCACGGGUGCGUAACGCGUAUGCAACCUACCCAUAACAGGGGGAUAACACUGAGAAAUUGGUACUAAUACCCCAUAACAUCAGGACCGGCAUCGGUUCUGGUUGAAAACUCCGGUGGUUAUGGAUGGGCAUGCGUUGUAUUAGCUGGUUGGUGAGGUAACGGCUCACCAAGGCAACGAUACAUAGGGGGACUGAGAGGUUAACCCCCCACAUUGGUACUGAGACACGGACCAAACUCCUACGGGAGGCAGCAGUGAGGAAUAUUGGUCAAUGGACGCAAGUCUGAACCAGCCAUGCCGCGUGCAGGAAGACGGCUCUAUGAGUUGUAAACUGCUUUUGUACGAGGGUAAACGCAGAUACGUGUAUCUGCCUGAAAGUAUCGUACGAAUAAGGAUCGGCUAACUCCGUGCCAGCAGCCGCGGUAAUACGGAGGAUCCAAGCGUUAUCCGGAUUUAUUGGGUUUAAAGGGUGCGUAGGCGGUUUGAUAAGUUAGAGGUGAAAUACCGGUGCUUAACACCGGAACUGCCUCUAAUACUGUUGAACUAGAGAGUAGUUGCGGUAGGCGGAAUGUAUGGUGUAGCGGUGAAAUGCUUAGAGAUCAUACAGAACACCGAUUGCGAAGGCAGCUUACCAAACUAUAUCUGACGUUGAGGCACGAAAGCGUGGGGAGCAAACAGGAUUAGAUACCCUGGUAGUCCACGCAGUAAACGAUGAUAACUCGUUGUCGGCGAUACACAGUCGGUGACUAAGCGAAAGCGAUAAGUUAUCCACCUGGGGAGUACGUUCGCAAGAAUGAAACUCAAAGGAAUUGACGGGGGCCCGCACAAGCGGAGGAACAUGUG